GAGCCGUGGAGCGCCCCGUGCGCGGAGCCCGGCUGGGGGCGCUGGGUUUGGGGCAGAGGAGCCCCAGGAGAGCUCCCAGCGCCUGCCCGGGCCUGAGGGGCUGCAGGAGAGAGGGGAGGGAGCCUGCAGGGGGAGCAGAAGGAAAGCCAAAAUGACUUCAGUGACAGCUCAGAUAUCCCACAGAAUGACUAGUAGGAGCAGAACAGCAGGAGCUAGAAUACAGUGAGGACUGUCCCCUCCAGGGAAAACCAUCUCCAGUCAUCAAUAGCAGACGGCCAGCACACCCAUCAUCAAGGCAAACUUCUGUUGGUGAAGACCAGAGAUUUUGGUCUAAGCAAGUUGGCCGCCUGAGAUGAGAAUACACUAAGAUGAGGAAGAUGCUGCUGUAAUCAAGGCAAUACGGAACCAGAUAUGCAGUGACCACAAGCUGGGCUACGGACGUCCUUCCCCGCUAGUGAAUAUUCAGUCUCUUUGGAAAGAAGUGGUUCCUCCUCUGCGGAGGAAAGUCUCACAACACAGGUCUUUGUCUUUCUGAUGGAAUAUGUUCCAAGGAAAGUCUUCCCCAACUCCAGCUGAUUCUGGAGGCUCCCAGAUGCUUCCUUCACUUUGUGCAGUGCAAUGGCCAUGGGAAAUGUGCCCAGGCAGGAAUUUAAAACCAGACACCCAGGAGGGAUGAGAACUUCUCAGCGAUCUGGAAACAACGAACACGCGGGCUGUAACCAGCAGGCAGGAUUUUGUGGACAUGAUGAGCCUGAGAAAUGGAGAGGGUAUUUCUGCUGCAGGUUCAGGACAACCCGUAGCAGAGGCAGGCACCUGGAGGGGAUGGCAGCAGCUUCCCAGAUCUCACCUGGCGAUUGCAGCGCUUGGAAAGCACGGCUCAAAUUAACCCUUCCCUCUUCUGCCCGAGUGCUGAGCCACAGAUGAGGAAACCCCCCAAAAUUAUUUCUGGGUAUUCAUUCCUUGUGUGAAUGCUGAGAUAAGAAGGGGCUCAAGCCCUUUCCUUCAAACCACAGUGGAGAAAACCUGCUGCAGUGCCUGCAAGAAAUUUUCAGAAAACUUUUGUGAGUUUUUACUGAAACCACAAGCCUUUUUUUUUUUUUACCCUUCCACAAUUUUUCUGUCUAACUUUUUAAAGGCACUUUUACUGAAGAUUUACUGAUAGAAACCUUCUACUGAGUGCAUUUGAUCGCUCCAUAUUUCAGAAACAAUGUAAGAAUGGAAAAAUCUCUCUCUUUAGGCUCCAUUAUCUCACACUCCUGUUGUCGGCACUGAGUUAUAAAGAACCGGUGCUACGCUUAAAACGCUGAAUGGCUUAACUGCUCAGAACAUAAAAUGAAAGCACUAAACUUAUCAGUUUUGUGUAAAAAACAUGCACUUUUCCCUUACAAUAAACAAAUAGAUAUAUAACAGCAAGCGAAAUAAAGCAGGCAAAUGCCUCGUCUUCUCUCCUUGGUGUGCAGGGCUGUAGUUGCCUGCUGUAAGAAAAUACAUCGCUGGCAUUGACUUUAAGCUCCAUGAUGGCUGUGAGAGUUGUUGUCUGUUCACAGCCUCAGUGGCAAAUUGGGUCAUUUCCAGGGGUAGUACUGUAAGAGAUUUUGUCUCUGAAAUUGGAGCCCCCUCUCCAAAUGCACAGGUCCAGCAUAGCUGUAGGGAGCACCCCAAGUUUGUGUUGCGGUCGUGAUCAUCCUGCCAGUGAUGAAAAUCUGCUGGGCAAGCUGUGUCUGCUUGUGAUAAAAUUGAUAAGAUAAAUGAUUUUUGUAGACAAAGGAAAUGCAGGAUAUCUCAUCUAUCUGGACCGAAGAAAUCAUUUGAUAUAGUGCCACAUGGGAAAUUAUCAGCUCAACUGAAAGCGUGGAGAAUUUAUACAGGACCUGUAAAGUGGGUACAGCACUGGCUAAAGGGAGGCCACUGACAGCAAACACUGAAAGGGGAAUUAUCGCUCUGAAGUGAGGUUACCAGUAAACAUCCCCCAGGACCAGGAGCGGGACUGAACAUAUUUCAUUUCUGCACUGACCUUGGAAGGGAACGUGGGAGUGUGCCAAUGACAUUUACAGCUCAUGCAAUGUUGGGAGCAUCGUCAGUGCACACCGGGAUGGGGCUAUUAACUGACGACUGACCUUGAAAUCUGAAGUAAUAGAAGUAGGAUAAAAUGCAAUAGUAUAUAACGUAUGGGCAAGUUCUUAUGGAACAGCUGAAAAAAAUUCAGCUAUUUGUUAGAAGUGGCCGAGUGUACUUGAAUGUCACAGGUUAACCAUUAAUGGCCAAUUAUAUGGUCUCAGGAAUAAAAUGGUCAGAUAUAUCCAAGUGGGAUUUCCAGCUAGUGCUGGAAGUCCAGGGAAGCACUAAUUCAUUUUCACAAAGGUUGGUCUCAUCUCAUCAAAGCUGUGUGCGCAGCUCUUCCCAAAAGUGAGAAGCUACGAAUUCAAACUGCAAAUGGUCCAGUGAAGGGAUCUGGGGCAGUCAGGGGAAUACAAGCACUGUUCAUCUGAGAGAGGAAGAAAGCACUUUGUUGAUUUAGGUGAAGACUGGGUGUGCAAAGUACGGGAAGGACAAAUGGUUUAAAUAAGCCAGGAAUUAAUUUAGGCUUGAAAUUAGAGGAAAAUCUCUGUAGCAAGAAGUUGGGACACAGCCCUCAAACAGCAGUGUCAGUGGGGUGUGAGCGGUGCCUGACAAAGUUCUCUUACUGGAGCUGCAAGUGGCCAUCAGGAGCUGGGGGUCAGGCCGAGGAAGACACUGUACUAGUUGGCUUUAGCAUUUUACACCUGGAUCUGAACAGAUCAGUCAUGCAGUGAACGGGGCCAAAAUGAGACCACGAGAUUCACCUGCCUGCAGGCCACGUGGAUUGAAAACCCAAAGGAGCAGCCUGGGCACCGCUGUCAGCUCAGCACUCUUCAAAGGAUUCCGAGGAGACGUACAGAAAACGCGUGCAUUUGCCAAAACCAGGCUCAGGCCAUGAAUGAUUCAUGAACAGAAAACAAGGCUACAUUCAUCGGAUAAUUUAUAUGUAAACCACUCAUUCCUCCAGCUACAGAAAAAAGCCCAGAUCCCUGCAGGUCAGAGCUGUAAAGAGCCGCCAGCGGUGGGAAGGAUGCCCUUGUAUUUAUGCCCUGUGAGGUUUUCCCAUCAGGCUGUCACCAGCCCCUUGCUCCGCAGCACCGGGGAUGCUCGUGCCCUUUAUCACUCACCACGGACCAUCCUGGGUGCACAUCCAUCUGACGUGCAGAUUUCUGGGGUGCUGAGCUUGCUGCAGGUGCUUUGGUUUGAUGCAGUAAUGGCAGCGCUCACCGAAAGCCAAAAUCCUCACAUCCAAUGUCAUCUGGGGGGCUGUGGGCAUACUGCGAUCUGUUGGGAUGGAAAGAGGCUUUGGAGGCAUCUGUCCACAAACCCACUGUAUAUCAGAGAUCAAGGAGAGAGGCAGCUCAAACACAAUCCACGUGUAAAAGCAGACUGUUUUCUGUGCUGGAGGGUUCUGGGGUCUCUGCAGAUAGGCAGUGCUAAUUACUGUGCUCAUUUUAGUGUUGCUAAUGUCCAUUCCUCAUUACGAGCAUGGUCCAGGGUCACCAAAGCUUCUUAUUAAUUCCACAACUCUGCGAUGGAUAAUGAACUGCAGAGAAAGCAGGAAGGAGACCUCAGCUCUGUGUUGGGAGUUUGCCAUUGCCCUGCCUAGGACAAGCCCAGCCUCGUGGAGCUACAUGGUUCCUCCAACGUGAGUCAUCCUGCUCAGCCUCCCCGAGCUCUGUUUGGUAGGAUCCUGGCUCUUUCUGUUUGCUUUCUGUGCAGUGCAAGCAUUUGCCCAGCGGCUGGUCAACAAACAAACAAGAGCAUUCUGUUUAAGAACACGUUUUUAAUAUCCUUCACUAGUAUUGAUCUGACAGUUAAGUCACUGAAUGGUCUUGAAUCUGCUGAAGAACAUAAUAGACAGCAAAAAGAUAUUACGACCUCAAGCAAAUGGCUCGAAACCUGUGAAAUUUACCUGAAUGUGGUCACCAAGCACCACUCACCUCAUACGUACAGGAGAAGCAGCUCCACCAAUGAGCUUUUUUAAACCUCUUACAGCAAACUGGGCCAGAUGGACAACGGCUCUGCCCCAGUAACGCUGCUGUUAUUUAUCUUCUAUUGGGAAUAGGCAGAGUUAACAGACAGUUUAUGUUUAACCAAACAUCUUUUGGUUUCAACUUCUGAGAGCGUGAUUGCUGAGUUCUGAUGAAUUUCCAAGUUUUUAAGAAAUUAAUUUCAUUUAACAUCAUAAGCUUCCUAAGGCACUUGCUUUCAAAGGCCUGUCAUAUCUGCCUGUGUCUGCCACAGAUUUUCAUUUUUUUCACAUCCAUAUGUUAAGAAAGAAAUGAAAAAAAAAAAAAAAAGCAAAAAUGCCUGGUUUGAUUCUAAGUUGCAGGGUUUUGAUAACCAAAUCCCUUUGUAAGCUGGUAGAGGCAAUGGCCACCUUCUAAUUCAUGGCAUUGUUCCCUUUCUGCAAUCUCCAUGGCCCCGUGCCUUGCUGCCAGAAUAUGCAAAGAAGUUUCUUGAUUGUCAUCUCUACCUUGCAAAGCUGUUCUUGACUUUGAAACUGCUGCAGUUCUUGCAAGGCUUGUUUUCAACCUGAAUAAUUCUCAGUAUUUUCCCCACAGUUCUGCAUAGCCUUCUGGUCCUCACUUCAGUGUUGGCUAAGCUGUCACUUACAGGAGUGAUGCUGUCAUUACAAUAUUUGAUUGUUUUUUAGUAUAGCGAUCGUUGAAAGCAUUUCAUAAGGAAACUAGUUGGUUAUUUCUUGCAGUGAAGCUGGUGGCAAUGCCAAGUAGUGGGUGUGGAAGAACUCGCCUUCAGCCUCAGCAUUGCUGUAGCAUCAGGCCCACAAGCUGCCCCUGCCUGCAUCUGGCCCUGAAGAUGACACCUGGCAGAAUUCACACACCUUCACUUGUCCUGCAUUACUCCUCCAGGCACCCCAAAUGCACUUGCAAUGGACACUGUUACCAUUGAACGCUUUUUGCAAUCCAGCAGUUAAAUGAGGAUGCCCCCCUGAGCCCCCAGAGGUUGCUCUGUAUCAGUUACUGAUUUUUGGCUUACUAUCAGUGCUGUUUUGAUUUGUGCUUAUGGUAAAUACGUGGCCUUAUGAGCUGAAACACAAUACUUCUCCCCUAGGGCUUACCAUAACCAACUCUUCCGUUUUGCUGAGUGUACCAGAUAUUUUUUCUUUCCUAUUUGGAGCACGGAGCCUUUUUGCUGUUCCCUUGCAAAGCUUUGCCAGUCCCUCAUUUUGUAGAACAGUCUUUUUUUUUUUUGUCAUUGCUGAACAUUCACCAGUUCAGCAAUGCUGAUGGACUUCAACUUUGAGAAAACUGCUGUUGAGUUUUCUGUGUAAUAUUUCACUGCUAUUUUUAUUAACGCUGAAAGUUUGACUUAUUUCCCAAGGUCAGUACCUUCAUGGACCUUCUACCACAUAGCUUCAAAAAGCUUCUACCUGCUUUUAAAAACU